rnacentral:rRNA from 1 species
ACCAGACUCCUACGGGAGGCAGCAGUGGGGAAUAUUGCACAAUGGGGGAAACCCUGAUGCAGCAACGCCGCGUGAGUGAGGAAGUAUUUCGGUAUGUAAAGCUCUAUCAGCAGGGAAUAGAAAAGAAGGUACCUGAAAAAGAAGCCCCGGCUAACUACGUGCCAGCAGCCGCGGUAAUACGUAGGGGGCGAGCGUUAUCCGGAUUCACUGGGCGUAAAGGGAGCGCAGGCGGCACGGCAAGUCCGGUGUGAAAGCCCGGGGCCCAACCCCGGGACUGCACUGGAAACUGCCGGGCUGGAGUGUCGGAGGGGCAGGCGGAAUUCCUAGUGUAGCGGUGAAAUGCGUAGAUAUUAGGAGGAACACCGGUGGCGAAGGCGGCCUGCUGGACGACGACUGACGCUGAGGCUCGAAAGCGUGGGGAGCAAACAGGAUUAGAUACCCGAGUA